UACGGGGGGGGGCAAGCGUUGUUCGGAAUUACUGGGCGUAAAGGGCUCGUAGGCGGCCAACUAAGUCAGACGUGAAAUCCCCUCGGCUUAACCGGGGAACUGCGUCUGAUACUGGAUGGCUAGAGGUUGGGAGAGGGAUGCGGAAUUCCAGGUGUAGCGGUGAAAUGCGUAGAUAUCUGGAGGAACACCAAUGGCGAAGGCAGCUCACUGGGACGGUAUUGACGCUGAGACGCGAAAGCGUGGGGAGCAAACAGG
rnacentral:rRNA from 1 species